rnacentral:rRNA from 1 species
GACGAACGCUGGCGGCGUGCUUAACACAUGCCAGUCGAACGGAAAGGCCCUGCUUGCAGGGUACUCGAGUGGCGAACGGGUGAGUAACACGUGGGUGAUCUGCCCUGCACUUCGGGAUAAGCCUGGGAAGCUGGGUCUAAUACCGGAUAGGAGCCAUUUUUAGUGUGAUGGUUGGAAAGUUUUUUCGGUGUAGGAUGAGCUCGCGGCCUAUCAGCUUGUUGGUGGGGUAAUGGCCUACCAAGGCGGCGACGGGUAGCCGGCCUGAGAGGGUGGACGGCCACAUUGGGACUGAGAUACGGCCCAGACUCCUACGGGAGGCAGCAGUGGGGAAUAUUGCACAAUGGGCGCAAGCCUGAUGCAGCGACGCCGCGUGGGGGAUGACGGCCUUCGGGUUGUAAACUCCUUUCGCUAGGGACGAAGCUUUUUGUGACGGUACCUAGAUAAGAAGCACCGGCUAACUACGUG